rnacentral:lncRNA from 1 species
GGGACAGCUUAGAGUAAAGGUUUAAGUGAAAGAGCAGAGACUUCGAAUAGAGACCACUUUAAAUUGCAAAUCUGAGAUUUUUUAACUGAAGGAAAAUUACCUCCCCCCAAAUCAGAGGACGAAUGAAGAAAAUAUGGAGAAAACUUUAACACAUACCAUAGACUAGACAAAAAAUAUAUGUUAAUUUUGUGUUCUGAAAUAAGACGCAAUCGGUCUUCUCUGGUUCUUUAGAAGGAGAGAGGAAGAGAGGAGGGGUGAUUAGAAGAAAUAAAAGGGAGAAAGUGAAUCAGAACUGAAAGGGGAUAACUUCAGGAAAGACAAGAAAAGGAAAAGUUGCACUUGGAAACAAGUCCAACUUUCUACCUUUCUGGACUUAAGAGAAAAGUAAAAUCAAUUUUCUCGUGUGAAACCUGGAAAGCAGAUGUUUUCAAAACACAGGAAGCUAUUUUGCCAUCAAAAGCAGGGAUGUAAUAAAGGC